rnacentral:rRNA from 1 species
AUUGAACGCUGGCGGCAUGCCUUACACAUGCAAGUCGAACGGUAACGGGUCCUUCGGGAUGCCGACGAGUGGCGAACGGGUGAGUAAUAUAUCGGAACGUGCCCAGUAGUGGGGGAUAACUGCUCGAAAGAGCAGCUAAUACCGCAUACGACCUGAGGGUGAAAGGGGGGGAUCGCAAGACCUCUCGCUAUUGGAGCGGCCGAUAUCAGAUUAGCUAGUUGGUGGGGUAAAGGCCUACCAAGGCAACGAUCUGUAGUUGGUCUGAGAGGACGAGCAGCCACGCUGGGACUGGGACACGGCCCAGACUCCUACGGGAGGCAGCAGUGGGGAAUUUUGGACAAUGGGCGCAAGCCUGAUCCAGCAAUGCCGCGAGCAGGAAGAAGGCCUUCGGGUUGUAAACUGCUUUUGUCAGGGAAGAAAUCUUCUGGGCUAAUACCCCGGGAGGAUGACGGUACCUGAAGAAUAAGCACCGGCUAACUACGUGCCAGCAGCCGCAGUAA